rnacentral:misc_RNA from 1 species
CAUCAUCAUCAUCAUCAUCAUGGUCACUCUUUUUUCUCUUUGGAGUUUGUCUUUUCGAUUUUACUGCUGCUUUCACAGCUUGCCCUCCACUCAGCUUUUGCAACUCUGGUACAUAGGCUGUUGUCUAAAACCAAAAAUACAGGCCCAUAAAAUAAAAUUCUAAUUCUUUUAUUUCUUCUUUUGCCAGUUCAUUACUUGCACAAACUGAGAUAUGAUAAGGUAAAUAAACCAAAUAAAGCAACUACUCAAUAAAGCGACAGAAAUGAUCUGAUAAGCUCUGUUUUAGAAUAACAUACCCUACCACCAGCAGUGAUAAAAUCAAUUUUCUUCCCUGCCAUAACAAAAAAACUCAUCAAUGUUUAUACGCGAUCCAAUCAAACAGUGUUUAAGAAACAAAAACAGAAAGAACUAAAAGUUAACGUAGAAUGACAAAUCUAACAAUUAUCUCCUUACUCCUUACCAAACUCUUAAAACAGAUUGUGAUAUAUAAAUACAGAGAAAGAGAGAGGAAAUCUGAGAUAUCAUCUAGGUCAGGAGCCAAACCAUCAACAAAAGCGUUCCCAGGCUUCUUUUCUUGGGAAUGAAAAAUCCAACUGUUGGGGAACUGACUACUCUAUGCCCCAACUUCUAUUGCUUUUUCAAUGACCUGUAAAAACAAUUUUUUUCAUUAAAAUAAUCUCUCAUAUGAAAGAUUUCUUACCAUUAACUGUUCCAGGUAUUUUGCCCCAUCGAAAAUGAAACAAUCAUUCAAGAGGAAAGUGGCUACAAUCAGCAUCAACUUGAACCACAUAUUGAAUAACCUACAGAUAUUUUCUUCUAUUCUUCAUGAAAAUUGCAUGUUUUAUAAACAAUUUUUUUUUUUUUUUUACAACUGCCAAUAUGACUCUUGAAUCUUGAUUGGAAGCAGAACACUUUUCUCCUACCUCCUUGAUGCACUCGGUUAAUGUUCACAGCUUUCUUUGGACAAGCUGGAAGCAGUUUGUUGUGGAUAAAUUCUGGCCUGCAACAAAGCAAUGAUAUGAAAGACAAUUCAUAAAACGAGGAUAUUGUUAUGCAAAAACAAUAGUAUAUCUCAAGAAACAGUUAUGGACUGCACAAAACCUUAAUCCCCAUCUAGUUGUGGUCUUUAGCAGCCACAUUCUCCAUUGUAGGCAAUGUCACAAUGAUGUUCCUUCCCAUCUAGUGUUUUAGCAAGACUUACUUUCCAUAUUAUUUUGGUCAAGCAACUCCUUGCUACCACAUCACCAGUUACCUUUUGGUGAUCAUAACCAAGCCAUCUUAGACAAUACUUUCAUCUAUUUCCAGUGCGUCUACCUUUUAAAAUUGUAUAAAUUUUAUUUACAUUUUGGUACAGGCAACUGUCCUGUUUCACAUCUCAUUCCAUUUAUGCACACUUCACUAACAUAUUAUCCCUUCAAAAUCCUGCAAUUCCAAUGUAAAUUAUGCCUUAGAAACUCUUAAAGUUCCAUACACUAACAAGAAAUCCUUUUAUCAUGAUCUGAAAUUAAGAAUUACAAGCUAAAAGAACAAAAUAAGAAAUUGAGCGAGCCUAGCGUUUCACCAAAAAUAAGUUACAUAAAACACGCCUAGAUGUACUUAAAUUCAAAGCUUUAAUGUUGAUGGAAAACAUUGAGCAAUGAAUCUGGUUAGAGCUUUAAUAAAACACCAAACUUGGCAUUAGUGUUAAAGACCACUAACUUGGCAUAGCAAUUCAUCUGCAAUCCAGUUUCCGAUACCAGAAAUAAAACUCUGCAAAGAUAGACACAGGUUAGAGUCAGUACUGAACAUUAUAUUUAAAGCAUUUGAAACAAUGGGCACACUAAUCUAUAUGGUUUCCAAGUGUACUACAAAUACUUGAAACAGCAAUCUAUAGUUCUUCAACUAAAAAAUUUUUAUCCCAACCUACCAAUGCCUGGCACUUCAGGGUCCUCUAGAACUGCAAAUGUGGUUAUAACUUCUUUAUCUAGAUUAUUAUUGCUUCUUAAUCCCAUAGACACUGCCCCCCCAUGCACAUGAUCAAAUCUAAAACUUUAAAUGCCACAAUAUAUACCAUACCUCAAUUCUUACCAAUUUUCGGUCAUAAUAUUUUCAAACUGAACAGAGAUUCUUAACUAUGCAUUUUAAAACUUUUGACCUAUGGUGACUUCUUUCUCUGUCAUAGCUGCCUCGUUCACUUGUACCUUCAAGUUGUAUUAUCUUGGAAAUGGUAAAGCAAAUAAGCUGAGUUUUUAACCUGAUCAAGCAACAGCGCCUUAAUUGCAAUUUCCUUCUUGUGUAAGGAUUCAUUAAAUUCAUCAACUUUCAUUGGCUCCAAUAAUGCAUCAGGGCCAAGCUCAGAAAUUGGAGGCACAGAAGUUGGCUGCACCUAGAAAACAAAAUAAAAUAAAGAUCAAGCGAUGAAAAAUCAAUAAGAUGUCUACGAAGUUAGUUAAACGCAGAAACUUUAUGAAGACUAGCAAAUGGUAAAUUACUUCUUUGAGCAAACAGACUUUAGCAAAUCGCCUCUUACCAGUGAAAGAAAGCUCCAGCCCAUCAUCUAGCUGCAAGUGUAUUCCAUAUUGAUUAACUGGUAGAAUAGGGGCUAAAUUAUUUGAAAAGAUAAGUGCAUGCUCCCUCACCACUACAGGUUUAUGGUCACACAGACACAUUGUAAAGUCCAAAACAGUAAUAUGAUUUGCAAUAUUCCAGAUUUUAAUCCUGCUGUUCAUUUAUACUAUGUGUAAAAGAUGCUUUAUGCAUAAUUUUCAUUUUUCUAAACAAGACCACCAUAUUUUAUUAGAUCCUCAAAAAAAUGAUUAACUUGAAAAAUGCAACUGUGCAAUAGGUCUCAUUUAUAAUUUAGUAAGUUUCUAAAUUCUAAGCAUUUGAUCAAAAUAUACACCCCAAUUCAAUUGAAAACCAAACCUCAGAAACUUAAGAAGCAUACAACAAUAUCCAGUGUACUUUUAUUGGACUAUAAACGAAUAAAUUAACUAACUUUGCUACAAGUAAAAUUUCAAAUAGCACUACUUGCAUGAACCACAUACAAAUAAUAGGUUAGUUAUCUAAUAAAAGCAUGGAUAAAAACAUAAAAUAUUUCAAUUCAUGAUAAUCUGCAGAUUCUUACUUCAAUGAAUAGCUUUGAAUAUUUGGAUGCCCACUCAUCAAUUUCAUUCACGGCAGACAUAUGAAAAAUACUCCACCAAAAUUAACAGUAAAAGAUUAUUCUGCAAGUGGAAAUCAUUAUAGUAAAACAAUGAUAUCUCAUCUGAAGUGAGAUGCAUCAAGUCACAAAAAUUCACCAAUUAGAUACAUUGUCAUUACAUACAUUAUUACGGUCAUAACCUGAUUGAAAAGUUAAUUAAAAUAUAGUCGUGCAAUAAGUCAGUCAGUCUUGUUACUUUAAUUGAAAAUAAGAUCUUAUUAAUGACCUCAAAUAUUUUGAUAUGAUACUCAAUGUUUAUGAGAGUAGUACAACAUGACCUA